rnacentral:lncRNA from 1 species
CCCACUCCUUCUCGGCACCCAGUUCAAGGCUUUUCCUGGGAGCCCGUGCACAGUAAAGAGCCAGGAGAUGCUUUUCCAGGUGUCUCUCCCUCCAAAGCAGGGAACCAGGGCUCUUCUGCGGUUUUCUGCUGUGUGGAGGCUCCUGGUGAUGCUCUGAGCAAGGCCACAGUGGUCAGAGGUCCAGGCAGUCACUCAGGCUCAGGGCUCUGCAGGACAGGUCUCAGCAGCAGCUGGACACUCUCCAAAGACCCACCACCCCUUCUCCAGCUCUGGCUUUUCUCCCUCUCUUGGCCCUGGGCUGGCACUGGGUGUUCUGGAGAACAGAGGUGUUUUUCAAGGCUCAGGACAUUGUAUAGGAUGGGAAAAAGCCUUUUCUGCACUUCCCUCCCUGAUGGUUAUCUCAGAAAGCAUUACAAGAUGCUUUUGGAGAAGGAUGCACUGCGUUGUGCUGGGGACCUGAAGAGGUGACUCCACUCAGGAGCUGAGUUCUCAUCACGAUGUGAAAGCUGUGCU